rnacentral:tRNA from 1 species
GGAAAGAUGUCCGAGUGGUUUAAGGUCCACGCUUGGAAGGCGUGCACAGGCGAAAGUCUGUCGGGGGUUCGAAUCCCCCUCUUUCCGCCU